AUUGAACGCUGGCGGCAGGCUUAACACAUGCAAGUCGAGCGGGGAAGGUUGCUUUGGUAACUGACCUAGCGGCGGACGGGUGAGUAAUGCUUAGGAAUCUGCCUAUUAGUGGGGGACAACAUUCCGAAAGGAAUGCUAAUACCGCAUACGCCCUACGGGGGAAAGCAGGGGAUCUUCGGACCUUGCGCUAAUAGAUGAGCCUAAGUCGGAUUAGCUAGUUGGUGGGGUAAAGGCCUACCAAGGCGACGAUCUGUAGCGGGUCUGAGAGGAUGAUCCGCCACACUGGGACUGAGACACGGCCCAGACUCCUACGGGAGGCAGCAGUGGGGAAUAUUGGACAAUGGGCGGAAGCCUGAUCCAGCCAUGCCGCGUGUGUGAAGAAGGCCUUUUGGUUGUAAAGCACUUUAAGCGAGGAGGAGGCUCCUUUAGUUAAUACCUAAAGAGAGUGGACGUUACUCGCAGAAUAAGCACCGGCUAACUCUGUGCCAGCAGCCGCCGUAACAC
rnacentral:rRNA from 1 species